AUGCGGUCGCGCUUCAGGGAGGCUUUGGCGAGCGGGCAGGAGGUAAUUAAUAGUGUCACGGUCGCGCAGGUGAUGGCGGCGUGCGCGCAGUGCGGCGACAUGGAGAGCGGGAGGUGGGUGCACGACACGCUCCGGCGCUGGCGCGUCGAGCCCGUAUUGCUCGAUGUUGCUCUUGCCACGGCGGUACUCCAUAUGUAUGCCGCAUGUGGUGGUCUCAGUGUUGCAGUUCAAGUGUUCGAUGCAAUUCCUCAAAGAAACGAGGUGUCCUGGAAUGCAAUGGUUGAGGUUUGUAAUCGUCAUGGAAGGUCGGAUGAGGUUCUAGAAACUUUUGCUGCUAUGCAUUCUGCUGGGAUGAAGCCUGAUAAGGUGACAUGGCUGAGCAUAUUGCGUGCUUGUACAUCGAAGGGAGAUACGGGCUUAAGCCAAGGGGUUCACGCAUACAUGGAAAAGACUAAUUGUUGUCGACAUGUUGCAGUUUGCACAUCUCUAAUGGAUAUGUAUUCAAAAACAGGAAAUGCACAGAGCGCGCUCCAGAUAUUUCAUUGUCUCAAAGGAAAGGAUUUGAUGGCGUGGACAAGCAUGAUCAGCAGUUUGGCGAAGCAUGGCCAAGGCAGAGAUGCAGUGCAGCUCUUCAAGCAGAUGGAGUAUGGUGGCGUUGUUCCAGACCAUGUUGCAUUUGUAGGCGUGCUUAGUGCUUGCAGUCAUGCAGGGAUGGUGGAUGAAGGCAGGAAAUAUUCUGACUCCAUGCUGAAUCUUUACGGCAUCAGACCAACGGUAAAACAUUAUGGAUGUAUGAUUGAUCUCUUGAGCCGUGCAGGUCACUUAGGAGAGGUUGAGAGGAUGAUGCAACUGAUGCCUAUUCAGCACAGUGUUAGAAUGUGGGGAAGUAUGAUGAACGGUUGCAAGAUACAUGGUAGGGCCGAUGUAGCUGAGAGGAUAGGAAGGGGGUUUGCUGAACUUAACCCUCAGUUAAGUGCAACCUAUGUGGUCAUGUCCAACAUAUAUGCAGAGGUUGGUAGGUGGCAUGCGGUCGAGCAAACUGGGAGGUUGAUGUGGCAGAUGGGAUUGAAGAAAAAUAUAGGCUCAAGUGGCACUGAAGUGCGCAUGUUGUGCUCCUGA
rnacentral:rRNA from 1 species